AUAAGCCCCAUCCCUGAACCAGCUACCUUGUUCUGCUCUGGGGCUGCUGCUGUGAGGUUUUGUUGGUUCUGUAGCUUCUUACCUGCAGUAGCUGAGGCAUCUGGUUGAGGUGUUGAAGGGGAACCUAGGAACCUUGUCAAUGUUGACAAGCAAAAUAUUGCCUGGUGUCUUGGUUCAGUAUUUCCUGGUUUUGCAGGUGCUUUGUGGGCCACUUCUGAACUUGGAUGACCAUUUGUGGUGCCAUGAGUGAUAAGGGUUUCUGCCUCUGCCCAUGGCAUAAGCCACUGAACAGAACACCCUUGAAAUUCAGAGGAGGUGCAGACUGAAGUACCUGUGUACAACCCAGUUGUCAAGAGAGGAAAAUCCUGAUCAAAGAAAAGCAAAAUUUGAGGAAGGAAAUAGGCACAAAACCUGGGGAUUUAUUGUCAUUGAAAACUGAGCUGCUGCAGAGGCCUUUACAAGAAGAAAAGAAGCAACAAAAGUUAGAGGGGAAAAAAAUGAAGUGAUACUUGUCAUCCUCUUGACAUUCUACUGAUUGGGAAACACAUCGUAUCACCUGAAGCAUGGGACAGAAAAAUAUGGUGUGACCCUGUGAUGGUGAACCAGGGAAGAACGAUUCCUCAUACUUCUCAGAUCCCCCUGAAUAUGCAGCCAGACCCAUCAUUAAAACAGAACAGUCUCAAGGAACUCCAUGUACUGCCAUGUGAUACCAUAGGCAAAUUGUUCCCUUAGUUCUGCCAUAAUUGGAAAACUUACCAGAAAAAUACAGCAGAAAACCAGGAAGAAUACAGCAUUCAGUGUAACAGCACAAACCGGCCUGAAACUCAUGAUCAUCUUCAUGGAGACUUGAACUGUUUUUCUGAGCAAAUAUGAGAUAAUGAAUUGUCAUAUUCUGUCAGGAAAAUUAAGUUUGUUUUUUUGCUUGUUUGUUUGGGGUUUUUUGUUGUUGGGUUUGGUGGUGGUGUUCUUCGGUGUGUUUUUGUCUUUUUGAAGUACAAGAUGAAAUAUGCAUUUGGAACUUCUAUUAUUUCUAUCAUACUUUAUUUCCUAAAUAUACUUCUGUUUUUUGAGGCCUCUAGCUUCUAAAUGUCAAGAUUUUCUUGACAACCAUAGGGAGAAAAACACCCUGGAUUUUUAAAAUCAAAGCUAAAAAUCUUAUGGGAUUUGUAGUGACUGAGCAGCCUAGAAAUGACAUGCAAUUCCCUGAGGUUUAGGAUCACAGGCAUGUAACCAUGGAUGCCAUAGAGGACUACCCAAAUAACCUAGAAGUUCGGGAGAACUAGAUUUUCUUCUGGCUUAAUUCUGCUGAUAUAUCUAGGAAAAAAACCCACAUUGUUUUCAAUGUGUUGUAACAGGUUGAAAGCUUUUGGGGAUCAAUGCAUAACAGUGAAUCCCACUAACACGAGUUAAGUUUAUGUUGUGUUUCCUGAAUAUCAGGUCCAUCUAGGAGGUUUAAUCUGCUGUGGCAGAGGUGAAAGAAGAGAUAAGUGAUGGGCUGGUGAGAUUCAUGGGAUUACAUACCUGAGGAGUUCUGCUAGGCUGCCCUAUGAGUGCUUCAUCAUGCUUGCAAAAAUGCUUUGCAAGCCCUCAAAGGAUGGCUUUUCCACCCUCAUCUGAGCUAUUCUUUGUUUUUCUUGGUCUUUCUUCAACCCAGUCCUCCUGCUCUGCCUGUGCCAGUCAGUCUGCUCCUACUGUAGGCUACAGGUACCUUUUAAGUCAAUGAAAGAAGACGACAUUAUGAGCGUGAUCAAAGAUUUGGUUCAUGGGCUGCAAAUGCACUAAACAGUCCCCAGUCAUCUGUAAUGUUAGAGAUGGGCUUGCUCCAGCUCUGCAGUUAAUUAGGCACAUAAGUAUAAAAUAUGAACCUACAUUAUCAGGAAUGCGUUGAUGCAAGUGCACGGAAGAGUGUAUACGUAACCAUAAUAAGGAGCGAGAGAGAAGGUAAACAUCUGAAUGACCAUUUGUUGGAUAUUCCUUCAUCUCCAUGAAACUACAAUAAUUAUCUGGACAAAGGAGAGACAUCCUUCUGUCAUAUAAAUUCUAAAAUCAAUCUCAUUUUUUGUUGUGGAGCAGACACUUAUUUACAUAAUUAUCCUGCUUACUUGACUGUGGACCUCCCUUAAAUCCUGCGUUCCCUCAAGCUGGGAGACUAUGGUAGGCACUUUUUAUACUUCUCUCUUCUCUGUGCUUCAUUGAAAAAUAAGAAGUGGAAAAAAAGAUUAAGAAAUCUAAAAGCAACUUCCUUCAUGAUAGGAAUCAUACAAGAUGGAAAAGCUUGUAUCUCUUAGAUGACACAAUGGGAGUGAAGGCUGAUUUGUAUGCUGGCCUCUGUGGCUUGAAGCUCAGCCUUCCAGUCCUUGCUAUUAAAAUAUGCAGUUCAGCAU